rnacentral:rRNA from 1 species
UACGUAGGGGGCAAGCGUUGUCCGGAAUCAUUGGGCGUAAAGAGCGCGUAGGCGGCCCUGUAAGUCCGCUGUGAAAGUCAAGGGCUCAACCCUUGAAUGCCGGUGGAUACUGCAGGGCUAGAGUCCGGAAGAGGCGAGUGGAAUUCCUGGUGUAGCGGUGAAAUGCGUAGAGAUGUGGAGGAACACCAAUGGCGAAGGCAGCCUUCUGGGCCAACACUGACGCUCAUGCACGAAAGCGUGGGGAGCAAACAGG